AUUGAUUGAAAGUUGAUAGUCCAAGAAGGGAUAAAUAUAUUUGAUCUUGACUGAUUGUUGAACGAUGAUUGUUUUAAAUUAAUCUCAAGAAAAUGGUGGUAGUGGUUUGAACAGUGAAACUUUUUAUAAGAAAACGAUGGAUGGAGGUGGCGGUAGGGUUGAGUUUUGGUGGAUGAAAUGGUGCGUCUGACAACUAGCACAGGGAAGUUACUAUUAUUGACUUUCUGUCCAUAGAAAUACAAUGAAU
rnacentral:lncRNA from 1 species